rnacentral:lncRNA from 10 species
CACAACUGUUUUCAGUUUUAUUAAUGAGUUGUUAUACUUAUUUUAUAGAUAGAGAAUUACCAUUAUAACAUUGCUCCAUUGCCCACUCAUCCAUUCACGCAUCUGUCCAUCCGUCCAUCCACCCAUUUGUCCACUCCCCAAAUGGUCAUCAAUUGUCUACUGUGAGCCAAGCAAAGUGCUCCUUACUUUGGACUCUGAAUCCAGUGCUCUUUCUACUUCACCAUAGACACAUGCCCCUUGAGUAUAAGGGAGCUUGAUUCAUUCAACAAAUAUCUGUUGUCCAUCUCCAAUGUACUGGCAUAUUCUAAAUGCAUCCAACAAAAACCAAAAUGAAAAAAAAGAAAAACCCAUUCCUUCAAGGGGAUUGCAUUCGGACUGGGGGAGACAGAUAAAAUAAAAAUAAUGAAGUCAAAUAUAUAUGUUAGUGACAUGUGCCAUGAAGAAUAAUGCCCAAUAGGUAAAUGGGGCAAUUAACAAACGUAAUGUAAAUAAAUUAGUUCCAAGAAAUCAUUGACUCACCAACAGAGGGAACACAAUUUGGUCCAUGGUAAAAUAUUCCUUGGUAUUAAUAAUUUCUUCUCCUAAAGUAUUUCAGGGGCUGCCAAGCUGCUCUCCUGUUUCCUCUUCCUUGGGGCUGAUUGCAUCCCAUGAUGUGCCCAGGUUUUGAGAUGCUCCUCGUGAAUGAAAAUAGGACUGUCUGGUUCCUCCAUCCAUAGCAAGGGAGCCUAGACAGAAAUAACUUCUGUGCAUUUCUCCAGCUACAUUUAGGGAAAACUAGAAAAUACAGAAAUAUAUCAAGAAGAAAAAAAAUUUAA